GUCUACGGCCAUGCCACUCUGAAUGUGCCUGAUGUCGUCUGACCUCAGAAACUAAGCAGGGUCGGGCCUGGUUAGUACUUGGAUGGGAGACCACCUAGGAAGACCAGGUGCUGUAGGCG
rnacentral:rRNA from 1 species